CCUACGGGAGGCAGCAGUGAGGAAUAUUGGUCAAUGGACGAAAGUCUGAACCAGCCAAGUAGCGUGAAGGAUGACUGCCCUAUGGGUUGUAAACUUCUUUUAUAUGGGAAUAAAAUGUUCCACGUGUGGGAUUUUGUAUGUACCAUAUGAAUAAGGAUCGGCUAACUCCGUGCCAGCAGCCGCGGUAAUACGGAGGAUCCGAGCGUUAUCCGGAUUUAUUGGGUUUAAAGGGAGCGUAGGUGGAUUUUUAAGUCAGUUGUGAAAGUUUGUGGUGCAACCGUAAAAUUGCAGUUGAAACUGGCAGUCUUGAGUACGGUAGAGGUAGGCGGAAUUCGUGGUGUAGCGGUGAAAUGCUUAGAUAUCACGAAGAACUCCGAUUGCGAAGGCAGCUUACUGGACUGCAACUGACACUGAGGCUCGAAAGUGUGGGUAUCAAACAGGAUUAGAUACCCCAGUAGUC
rnacentral:rRNA from 1 species